rnacentral:rRNA from 1 species
UACGUAGGGUGCGAGCGUUGUCCGGAAUUAUUGGGCGUAAAGAGCUCGUAGGCGGUUUGUCGCGUCUGCUGUGAAAACUCGGGGCUUAACUCCGGGCCUGCAGUGGGUACGGGCAGACUAGAGUGCGGUAGGGGAGACUGGAAUUCCUGGUGUAGCGGUGAAAUGCGCAGAUAUCAGGAGGAACACCGGUGGCGAAGGCGGGUCUCUGGGCCGUAACUGACGCUGAGGAGCGAAAGCGUGGGUAGCAAACAGG